rnacentral:rRNA from 2 species
UACGUAGGGUCCGAGCGUUGUCCGGAAUUAUUGGGCGUAAAGGGCUCGUAGGCGGUCUGUUGCGUCGGGAGUGAAAACUUACAGCUUAACUGUGAGCGUGCUUCCGAUACGGGCAGACUUGAGGUAUUCAGGGGAGAACGGAAUUCCUGGUGUAGCGGUGAAAUGCGCAGAUAUCAGGAGGAACACCGGUGGCGAAGGCGGUUCUCUGGGAAUAUCCUGACGCUGAGGAGCGAAAGUGUGGGGAGCGAACAGG